GACGAACGCUGGCGGCGUGCUUAACACAUGCAAGUCGAGCGGUAAGGCCCUUUCGGGGGUACACGAGCGGCGAACGGGUGAGUAACACGUGGGUGACCUGCCCUUAGCUCUGGGAUAAGCCUGGGAAACUGGGUCUAAUACCGGAUAUGACUCCAUGACGCAUGUUGUGGGGUGGAAAGCCUUGUGCGGCUAGGGAUGGGCCCGCGGCCUAUCAGCUUGUUGGUGGGGUGAUGGCCUACCAAGGCGACGACGGGUAGCCGGCCUGAGAGGGCGACCGGCCACACUGGGACUGAGACACGGCCCAGACUCCUACGGGAGGCAGCAGUGGGGAAUCUGCGCAAUGGGCGAAAGCCUGACGCAGCGACG
rnacentral:rRNA from 1 species